rnacentral:rRNA from 1 species
GAGUUUGAUCGUGGCUCAGAGCGAACGUUAGCGGCGCGCCUAACACAUGCAAGUCGAGCGCGAAAGGGAGCAAUCCUGAGUAAAGCGGCGCACGGGUGCGUAACACGUAGGUAACCUGCCCUAUGGAGGGGGAUAACGUUCCGAAAGGAGCGCUAAUACCGCAUACAGCGUCUUGGGGUAACCUGAGAUGGCAAAGGUUGGGAUUCGCAAGAACCAAUCGCCAUGGGAGGGGCCUGCGGCCCAUCAGCUAGUUGGUAAGGUAAUGGCUUACCAAGGCGAAGACGGGUAGCUGGUCUGAGAGGAUGAUCAGCCACACUGGUACUGGAACACGGACCAGACUCCUACGGGAGGCAGCAGUGGGGAAUCUUGGUCAAUGGGCGCAAGCCUGAACCAGCGACGCCGCGUGAGUGAUGAAGGCC